rnacentral:lncRNA from 1 species
GUUCACUCUCUACCACCAACCAAGUCAUGUCCUGUCAACUCGAGCUGUAACUCUGAGCACCUGCUACUUGCUGUCAUUUCUCACUGGCCAAUUGCAUCCCAUGUUGAACAUCACCCGUCUAUAGAGCUGUGAAGAGACUUCGGAUUUACCCUAUUCGAAAACUAACAGAGGCGCUGUAACAUGGAGUCACACAUGUUCAACUCCCAACUCCAUUACUAGUUCUGCGCUUGCAGGAAAGUGGUUCAUCUCUUGAAGCCAAUUUCUUCCAAGCAGAGUGUGAGUAAUAACUGUACAUAUACCAAAGGAUUCUCAUCAUAACUA